rnacentral:lncRNA from 1 species
UUCAAAACUAAAACAUAAAAGAAAAUUUACAAUAGAAAAAAAGAUAAGAUAAAGAUAAACUUAACACUAUUGAGAAAAUACAUCAUUUGAUCAUUUUCUUAGUAUAUCCAACAAUUAAACAUAUAGGCCACAUUUUAGCUCAUAUAUACAUUUUUAUUGAUAUUCCAACUUUCAUUUUGUGAGAAUGUGAUGCAUUUCUUCCCGUCUUU